rnacentral:rRNA from 1 species
AUUGAACGCUGGCGGCAGGCCUAACACAUGCAAGUCGAGCGGAUGAAGGGUGCUUGCUCCUGGAUUCAGCGGCGGACGGGUGAGUAAUGCCUAGGAAUCUGCCUGGUAUUGGGUGAUAACGUCCGGAAACGGGCGCUAAUACUGCCUACGUCCUGCGGCAGAAAGUGGGGGGUCUUCGGACCUCACGCUAUCAGAUGAGCCUAGGUGGGAUUAGCUAGUUUGUGGGUUAAAGGCCUACCAAGGGGACGAUCCGUAACUGGUCUGAGAGGAUGGUCGGCGACACUGGAGCUGAGACACGGUCCAGAGUCCUACGGGAGGGAGCAGAGGGGAAUAUUGGGCAGUAGGGGGGAACAUGAUCCAGCGGGGGGACGCGUGUGAAGAAGGUCUUCGGAUUGUGAAGAACGUUAAGGUGGGAGGAAGGGCAGUAAGUUAAUACCUUGCGGUUUUGACGGUACCAACAGAAUAAGCACCGGCUAACUUCGUG